rnacentral:lncRNA from 1 species
UCGGAUGAAGCGCACAGCCACGAUUUGGGUUACACACUUGAAAAUCAGGGGCUUCCAUAUUUCAGUCUUGAGUUCGGUCUCCCUGGGAAGGUGGGGCCACCAGCCCCAUGCCCCCGUUGCACGGAUCAGCUGGAGCAGAAUCCCGGCUUCCCUCCGGAUGGGCCUGGGUCCAUGCCCGCGCUCACUGCCCAGAUCUCUCUGGCUCUUACGGACACGAGUUUGCGACCUCUGAGUCACUGGGUGGGCUCGUCGAAAAGACCCGGGCGUCUCACUCUGGAGCUCACAGUCGUACGGAGAAGACAGGACCAGCCGAGGAGGAGGGCGGCGCGUGCGAGGGUCGCCUUCUUCCCAGGGCACCGGGGGCGUGGGUGCUGCGGGAGCGCGCCGAAAGGGCAGCCUUGGAAGCGGGCGCAGCUUCGGCAGACACAGGGCUGAGGGGCUGCGGAGCUCGGGGGCCGGAGCCAGGCUGCAGGGCACGGCCUCGCCCGUUGCCCCUCCUUGCUUCUGCGGGAGGUGGGCGCGCCCAAGACGGAACCUGGGGCGUCAGAACGAAAAGCAGCGGCGCCGCGCUUCCCGGCCGGACAGCCUCCAGCGCAGCGCCCCGGCCGGAAGCCUUCUCGCCGCCGCUUCCUCUCGAGAAGGCGUGCGGCGGGCUGUCUGGCCCGCAGGGCUGGCAAGAGAGAAGCAAGCACAAGGCCCGGAGGAGACCACGAUCCAGCUUCUCCUCCUCCUCUUCCAGUUCUUCUAGCUCCUCUUCUUCCUCCUCGUCCUCCUCUUCCUCCAGUGAUGGCCGGAAGAAGCGGGGGAAGUACA